GACAGAGGGUGCAAACGUUGUUCGGAAUUACUGGGCGUAAAGCGCGUGUAGGCGGCCAUCUAAGUCGGGCGUGAAAUCCCACGGCUCAACCGUGGAAGUGCACUCGAAACUGGAUGGCUAGAGUCCUGGAGAGGAAGGUGGAAUGCUUGGUGUAGAGGUGAAAUUCGUAGAUAUCAAGCGGAACACCGGUGGCGAAGGCGGCCUUCUGGACAGUGACGUGACGCUGAGACGCGAAAGCGUGGGAGCAAACAGG
rnacentral:rRNA from 1 species